rnacentral:rRNA from 1 species
AUAUUAGUAAUGGGCGAAAGCCUGAACUAGCAACGCCGCGUGUGCGAAGAAGGCCUUCGGGUCGUAAAGCACUUUUUGAGAGGAUGAGGAAGGACGGUACUCUCAGAAUAAGUCUCGGCUAACUACGUGCCAGCAGCCGCGGUAACACGUAGGAGGCAAACGUUAUCCGGAUUUACUGGGCGUAAAGCGCGUGUAGGUGGUUUGGUAAGUAGGGCGUGAAAGCUCCUGGCUCAACUGGGAGAGGACGUUCUAAACUGCCAAGCUUGAGGAUGGUAGAGGGAGGUGGAAUUCCGGGUGUAGCGGUGGAAUGCGCAGAUAUCCGGAGGAACACCAGUGGCGAAGGCGGCCUCCUGGACCACUCCUGACACUCAGACGCGAAAGCUAGGGUAGCAAACGG